rnacentral:rRNA from 1 species
GACGAACGCUGGCGGCGUGCUUAACACAUGCAAGUCGAACGGAAAGGCCCUGCUUUUGUGGGGUGCUCGAGUGGCGAACGGGUGAGUAACACGUGAGUAACCUGCCCUUGACUUUGGGAUAACUUCAGGAAACUGGGGCUAAUACCGGAUAGGAGCUCCUGCUGCAUGGUGGGGGUUGGAAAGUUUCGGCGGUUGGGGAUGGACUCGCGGCUUAUCAGCUUGUUGGUGGGGUAGUGGCUUACCAAGGCUUUGACGGGUAGCCGGCCUGAGAGGGUGACCGGCCACAUUGGGACUGAGAUACGUCCCAGACUCCUACGGGAGGCAGAAGUGGGGAAUAUUGCACAAUGGGCGGAAGCCUGAUGCAGCAACGCCGCGUGCGGGAUGACGGCCUUCGGGUUGUAAACCGCUUUCGCCUGUGACGAAGCGUGAGUGACGGUAAUGGGUAAAGAAGCACCGGCUAACUACGUG